rnacentral:SRP_RNA from 1 species
UGGCUGAGAAACCCUGGGACCACGUCACUGACGCACAGCUGUCUGACGCAUUGGAAGCCUUCAGGGGAGAAAUCCUGCAAAUAC